AGAUCUCGGCCGAUCACCGAAGUUAAGCCCCGUCGAGCCUGGUCAGUACCUAGAUGGGUGACCGCUAGGGAAUACCAGGUGCUGUAAG